rnacentral:rRNA from 1 species
GAAACGACUGCUAAGACUGGAUAGGAGACAAGAAGGCAUCUUCUUGUUUUUAAAAGACCUAGCAAUAGGUAUGCUUAGGGAGGAGCUUGCGUCACAUUAGUUAGUUGGUGGGGUAAAGGCCUACCAAGACUAUGAUGUGUAGCCGGGCUGAGAGGUUGAACGGCCACAUUGGGACUGAGACACGGCCCAAACUCCUACGGGAGGCAGCAGUAGGGAAUUUUCGGCAAUGGAGGAAACUCUGACCGAGCAACGCCGCGUGAACGAUGAAGUAUUUCGGUACGUAAAGUUCUUUUAUUAGGGAAGAAUAAAUGAUGGAAAAAUCAUUCUGACGGUACCUAAUGAAUAAGCCCCGGCUAACUAUGUGCCAGCAGCCGCGGUAAUACAUAGGGGGCAAGCGUUAUCCGGAAUUAUUGGGCGUAAAGGGUGCGUAGGCGGUUAAAUAAGUUUAUGGUCUAAGUGCAAUGCUCAACAUUGUGAUGCUAUAAAAACUGUUUAGCUAGAGUAAGAUAGAGGCAAGUAGAAUUCCAUGUGUAGUGGUAAAAUGCGUAAAUAUAUGGAGGAACACCAGUAGCGAAGGCGGCUUGCUGGGUCUUUACUGACGCUGAGGCACGAAAGCGUGGGGAGCAAACAGGAUUAGAUACCCUGGUAGUCCACGCCGUAAACGAUGAGUACUAAACGUUGGGUAAAACCAGUGUUGAAGUUAACACAUUAAGUACUCCGCCUGAGUAGUACGUACGCAAGUAUGAAACUUAAAGGAAUUGACGGGACUCCGCACAAGCGGUGGAUCAUGUUGUUUAAUUCGAAGGUACCCGAAAAACCUCACCAGGUCUUGACAUGCUUCUGCAAAGCUGUAGAAACACAGUGGAGGUUAUCAGUCGCACAGGUGGUGCAUGGUUGUCGUCAGCUCGUGUCGUGAGAUGUUGGGUUAAGUCCCGCAACGAGCGCAACCCUUAUUGUUAGUUACCAGCACGUAAUGGUGGGGACUCUAGCAAGACUGCCAGUGAUAAAUUGGAGGAAGGUGGGGACGACGUCAAACCAUCAUGCCCCUUAUGACCUGGGCUACAAACGUGAUACAAUGGCUGUUGCAAAGGGUAGCUGAAGCGCAAGUUUUUGGCGAAUCUCAAAAAAACAGUCUCAGUUCGGAUUGAAGUCUGCAACUCGACUUCAUGAAGUUGGAAUCGCUAGUAAUCGCGAAUCAGCAUGUCGCGGCGAAUACGUUGACGGGGUUUGUACACACCGCCCGUCA